CUAGCCUGAAAUGAGAUUCAAGUGGAUAACCAGGCUUCAAAAACACCAGUCACAAGUGUUGAUGAACAUUUGCAUUUUAAUAUUGUUCAAAGGAAUUUAUAAAAAAUAACAAAUACAUGGACAUACUGACAAGGUUAAAAUAAAACAAAUUUAGAUGGGGGAAAACACAGAAUGGCAUCUCACACAUAUCUGAGUAUGUGUGAGAGUAUGCAGUGGAAACAGUUUGCAGUCAGUUCUCUCUCCGUUUCCUGCCCGUCACUCAUAGUUUACUCUCAUGGUUUACAUUUCCUUUUGCAACAGAUAUGCUGCUCAUAUGAAACCUCAAAAUGGUAAAUGUCUUACAAAAAAAUACUUUAUACGACAAAAUAUAUGUACAGCGUAAACACUGCUUUGCUCCAAAAUAAAAUACAAAUAAAUGUCAGUUUCCUUUCAUAGGUUAGAACAAUGUAACAUGUUGAAGCAUAAUGUAACAGAUGUUUGAAAGUCCUGAAGAAAUAUGUUUUAUGUUUUUGUGAUCUGUAUUUGACUUUAUUUAUGUAAGUACGCAGUUAAAUCAACUACAAAUACUGCAAUCUACAGUAGGACAGAGUCAUGAAAUUGUAUUCCUUACUCUCUAUUGAAUAUGUACACAUACGUAUUGCGGACUACUUUAAGUGUAAUAGGAAUUCAACAGUAAAGAUACUAUCCACAAUCAAGUAAAAUGCUUUUGAAUAUCUGUUAGGUCCAAACAUAUACAGUACCAGUCAAAAGUUUGGACACACCUCAUUCAAGGGUUUUUCUUCAUUUUUACUAUUUUGUACAUUCUAGAAUAAUAGUGAAGACGUCAAAACUAUGAAAUACCAUAUAUUGAAUCAUGUAGUAAUCAAAAAAGUGUUAAACAAAGAUUCUUCAAGUAGCCACCCUUUGCCUUGAUGACAGCUUUGCACAAUAUUCGCAUUCUCUCAACCAGCUUCCUGAGGAAUGCUUUUCUGGAAGGAGUUCCCACAUAUACUGAGCACUUGUUGGCUGCUUUUCCUUCACUCUGCGGUCCAACUCAUCCAAAUCAUCUCAAUAGGUUUGAGGUCGGGUGAUUGUGGAGGCCAGGUCAUCUGAUGCAGCACUUCAUCACUCUCCUUGGUAAAAUAGCCCUUACACAGCCUGGAUGUGUGUUUUGGGUCAUUGUCCUGUUGAAAAACAAAUUAUAGUGCCACAAAUAGCAAACCAAAUGGGAUGGCGUAUCGCUGCAGAAUGCUGUGGUAGCCAUGCUGGACACUGACAGUGUCAUCAGCAAAGCACCCCCACACCUCUUCCUCCAUGCUUCACGGUGGGAACAAACAUGUGGAGAUCAUCCAUUCACCUACUCUGCGUCUCACAAAAACACAGCGGUUGGAACCAAAAAUCUCAAAUUUGGACUCAUCAGACCAAAGGACAGAUUUCCACUGGUCUAAUGUCCAUUGCUCGUGUUUCUUGGCCCAAGCAAGUCUUUUCUUCUUAUUGGUGUCCUUUAGUAGUAGUUUCUUUACAGCAACUCGACCAUGAAGGCCUGAUUCACGCAGUCUUCUAAACAGUUGAUGUUGAGAUGUGUCUGUUACUUGAACUCUGUGAAGCAUUUAUUUGGGCUGGUCCUCAUGAGAGACAGUUUCAUCAUAGAGCUUGAUGGUUUAUGCAACUGCAAUUGAAGAAACUUUCAAAGUUCUUGAAAUUUUCCUGAUUGACUUAAAGUAAUGAUGGACUGUCAUUUCUCUUUGCUUAUUUGAGCUGUUCUUGCCAUAAUAUGGACUUGGUCUUUUACCAAAUAGGGCUAUCUUCUGUAUACCACCUCAACCUUGUCACAACACAAGUGAUUGGCUCAAACGCAUUAAGAAGUAAAGAAAUUCCACAAAUUAACUUUUAACAAGGCACACCUAUUCAUUGAAAUGCAUUCCAGGUGACUGCCUCAUGAAGCUGGUUGAGAGAAUGCCAAGCGUGUGCAAAGCUGUCAUCAAGGCAAAGGGUGGCUACUUUGAAGAAUAUCAACAAAAAAAUAUAUAUUUUGAUUUGUUUAACACUUUUUGGUUACUACAUUUUUUAAUGAUUUUUGGGGGGUGGCAGGUAGGCCAGUGGUUAGAGUGUUGGGCCAGUAACCAAAAGGUUGCUGGAUCAAAUCCCCGCGCUGACAAGGUAAAAAUCUGUCGUUCUGCCCCUGAUUAAGGCAGUUAACCCACUGUUCCCCAGUAGGCUGUCAUUGUAAAUAAGAAUUUGUUCAUAACUGACUUGCCUAGUUUAAAUGAAGGUUAAAUGUUUAAAAAAAACAUGAUUCCAUAUGUGUUAUUUCAUAGUUUUGAUGUCUUCACUAUUAUUCUACAAUGUAGAAAAUAGUAAACAUAAAGAAAAACCCUUGAAAGAGUAGGUGUGUCCAAACUUUUGACUGGUAUUGUAUGCCAACAAGGAUUUUUACAAGAUAUUUUCACGGAAUUGCACAGGCUCAUGACACAAUUUGUGGAACUUGCUUCUAUUCUAAAGCUUGAAAUUGUCCUGCCAAUGACAUUGAAAAGGGAUCACACACUUGCAUUUUUUGAAACAAUAGAAGGCCCCAUAUACAAAGUACGUUUAUAUAUGUCCAUAUUAAAUGAUAAAUGCUAGUUUCACUCAUUCAUUUUGAAUGGAAUAGCCAUUAUAUACAAACUAAAUUAACUUAUACAGUAUAUAUUGUCUUAAAGUAUGUUAUGCACCUCUGUUGAUGAAACUUUAAAAGCCUUUAAAGCCCCAGUGCAGUCAAAAGCAUAAUUUUCCUGUUUUAUAUACACUGCUCAAAAAAAUAAAGGGAACACUUAAACAACACAAUGUGACUCCAAGUCAAUCACACUUCUGUGAAAUCAAACUGUCCACUUAGGAAGCAACACUGAUUGACAAUACAUUUCACAUGCUGUUGUGCAAAUGGAAUAGACAACAGGUGGAAAUUAUAGGCAAUUAGCAAGACACCCCCAAUAAAGGAGUGGUUCGGCAGGUGGUGACCACAGACCACUUCUCAGUUCUUAUGCUUCCUGGCU
rnacentral:lncRNA from 1 species